AACGAACGCUGGCGGCGUGGAUAAGACAUGCAAGUCGAACGGAAUGCCAUGAGUAGCAAUACAAGUGGUGUUUAGUGGCGAACGGGUGCGUAACACGUGGAUACAUUCCGGGAAGCGGGGGAUAGCCCAGGGAAACUUGGAUUAAUACCGCAUGUGAUCGAAAGAUCAAAGACGGGGACCGCAAGGCCUGUCACUUCCCGAUUGGUCCGCGGCCUAUCAGCUAGUUGGCGGGGUAAAAGCCCACCAAGGCGACGACGGGUAGCUGGUCUGAGAGGACGACCAGCCACACUGGAACUGAGACACGGUCCAGACACCUACGGGUGGCAGCAGUCGAGAAUCUUUCACAAUGGGGGCAACCCUGAUGGAGCGACGCCGCGUGGAGGAUAAGGUCUUCGGAUUGUAAACUCCUGUCAUGCGUGAACAAGACUGCCGGGUUAAUAACCUGAGCAGGUUGAUGGUAACGCAAGAGGAAGAGACGGCUAACUCUGUGCCAGCAGCCGCGGU
rnacentral:rRNA from 1 species